UAGGGAAUCUUCCACAAUGGGCGCAAGCCUGAUGGAGCAACACCGCGUGAAUGAAGAAGGGUUUCGGCUCGUAAAGCUCUGUUGUUAAAGAAGAACACGUAUGAGAGUAACUGUUCAUACGUUGACGGUAUUUAACCAGAAAGUCACGGCUAACUACGCGCCAG
rnacentral:rRNA from 1 species